ensembl:snRNA U6 U6 spliceosomal RNA
GUGCUUGCUUCCACAGCACAUAUACUAAAGUUGGAACCAUACAGAGAAGAUGAGCAUGGCUCCUGUGCAAGGAUGACAUGCAAAUUUGUGAAGUAUUCCAUACUUUU